rnacentral:rRNA from 1 species
GUUUGAUCCUGGCUCAGGAUGAACGCUGGCGGCGUGCUUAACACAUGCAAGUCGAACGAUCCUUCGGGAUAGUGGCGGACGGGUGAGUAACGCGUGGGAAUCUGCCCUCAGGAGGGGGAUAACGGCUGGAAACGGCCGCUAAUACCCCAUAUGCCGAGAGGUGAAAUGAAUUUCGCCUGAGGAUGAGCCCGCGUCUGGUUAGCUAGUUGGUGGGGUAAUGGCCUACCAAGGCAACGAUCAGUAGCUGGUCUGAGAGGAUGAUCAGCCACACUGGGACUGAGACACGGCCCAGACUCCUACGGGAGGCAGCAGUGGGGAAUUUUCCGCAAUGGGCGAAAGCCUUACGGAGCAACGCCGCGUGAGGGAUGAAGGCCUCUGGGCUGUAAACCUCUUUUCUCAAGGAAGAAGACCUGACGGUACUUGAGGAAUAAGCCACGGCUAAUUCCGUGCCAGCAGCCGCGGUAAUACGGGAGUGGCAAGCGUUAUCCGGAAUUAUUGGGCGUAAAGCGUCCGCAGGCGGCCUUGUAAGUCUGUUGUUAAAGCGUGGAGCUCAACUCCAUUUAAGCAAUGGAAACUACAAGGCUGGAGUGUGGUAGGGGCAGAGGGAAUUCCCGGUGUAGCGGUGAAAUGCGUAGAUAUCGGGAAGAACACCAGUGGCGAAGGCGCUCUGCUGGGCCAUAACUGACGCUCAUGGACGAAAGCCAGGGGAGCGAAAGGGAUUAGAUACCCCUGUAGUCCUGGCCGUAAACGAUGAACACUAGGUGUCGGGGGAAUCGACCCCCUCGGUGUCGUAGCCAACGCGUUAAGUGUUCCGCCUGGGGAGUACGCACGCAAGUGUGAAACUCAAAGGAAUUGACGGGGGCCCGCACAAGCGGUGGAGUAUGUGGUUUAAUUCGAUGCAACGCGAAGAACCUUACCAGGGUUUGACAUCCUGCGAACCCCUGAGAAAUCGGGGGGUGCCUUCGGGAGCGCAGAGACAGGUGGUGCAUGGCUGUCGUCAGCUCGUGUCGUGAGAUGUUGGGCUAAGUCCCGCAACGAGCGCAACCCACGUCUUUAGUUGCCAGCAUUCAGUUGGGCACUCUAGAGAGACCGCCGGUGAUAAACCGGAGGAAGGUGUGGAUGACGUCAAGUCAUCAUGCCCCUUACAUCCUGGGCUACACACGUACUACAAUGCUACGGACAAAGGGCAGCAAGCUCGCGAGAGUUAGCAAAUCCCAUAAACCGUGGCUCAGUUCAGAUCGUAGGCUGCAACUCGCCUACGUGAAGGAGGAAUCGCUAGUAAUCGCAGGUCAGCAUACUGCGGUGAAUACGUUCCCGGGCCUUGUACACACCGCCCGUCACACCAUGGAAGUUGGCCAUGCCCGAAGUCGUUACUCCAACCCUUGUGGAGGAGGACGCCGAAGGUGGGGCUGAUGACUGGGGUGAAGUCGCAACAAGGUA